UGCGCUGCUCUUGAAACCCAUUUGUCCU
rnacentral:piRNA from 1 species